ACAUGCAAGUCGAACGAUGAAGCCCUUCGGGGUGGAUUAGUGGCGAACGGGUGAGUAACACGUGGGCAAUCUGCCCUUCACUCUGGGACAAGCCCUGGAAACGGGGUCUAAUACCGGAUAAUACCUGCCUGGGCAUCUGGGUGGGUUGAAAGCUCCGGCGGUGAAGGAUGAGCCCGCGGCCUAUCAGCUUGUUGGUGAGGUAGUGGCUCACCAAGGCGACGACGGGUAGCCGGCCUGAGAGGGCGACCGGCCACACUGGGACUGAGACACGGCCCAGACUCCUACGGGAGGCAGCAGUGGGGAAUAUUGCACAAUGGGCGAAAGCCUGAUGCAGCGACGCCGCGUGAGGGAUGACGGCCUUCGGGUUGUAAACCUCUUUCAGCAGGGAAGAAGCGAGAGUGACGGUACCUGCAGAAGAAGCGCCGGCUAACUACGUGCCAGCAGCCGCGGUAAUACGUAGGGCGCAAGCGUUGUCCGGAAUUAUUGGGCGUAAAGAGCUCGUAGGCGGCUUGUCACGUCGGGUGUGAAAGACCGGGGCUUAACCCCGGUUCUGCAUUCGAUACGGGCUAGCUAGAGUGUGGUAGGGGAGAUCGGAAUUCCUGGUGUAGCGGUGAAAUGCGCAGAUAUCAGGAGGAACACCGGUGGCGAAGGCGGAUCUCUGGGCCAUUACUGACGCUGAGGAGCGAAAGCGUGGGGAGCGAACAGGAUUAGAUACCCUGGUAGUCCACGCCGUAAACGGUGGGAACUAGGUG
rnacentral:rRNA from 1 species